rnacentral:rRNA from 1 species
CGGAGGGUGCAAGCGUUAUCCGGAUUUAUUGGGUUUAAAGGGUCCGUAGGCGGAUCCGUAAGUCAGUGGUGAAAUCUCACAGCUUAACUGUGAAACUGCCAUUGAUACUGCGGGUCUUGAGUAAGGUAGAAGUGGCUGGAAUAAGUAGUGUAGCGGUGAAAUGCAUAGAUAUUACUUAGAACACCAAUUGCGAAGGCAGGUCACUAUGUCUUAACUGACGCUGAUGGACGAAAGCGUGGGGAGCGAACAGGAUUAGAUACCCUGGUAGUCCACGCCGUAAACGAUGCUAACUCGUUUUUGGGCUUACGGGUUCAGAGACUAAGCGAAAGUGAUAAGUUAGCCACCUGGGGAGUACGUUCGCAAGAAUG